UACGUAGGGUGCGAGCGUUACUCGGAAUUACUGGGCGUAAAGUGUGCGCAGGCGGUGCACCAAGCUCGAUGUGAAAGCCCCGGGCUUAACCUGGGAAUUGCAUUGAGGACUGGUGUGCUCGAGUGCGGCAGAGGGGGGUGGAAUUCCACGUGUAGCAGUGAAAUGCGUAGAGAUGUGGAGGAACACCGAUGGCGAAGGCAGCCCCCUGGGCCGACACUGACGCUCAUGCACGAAAGCGUGGGGAGCAAACAGG
rnacentral:rRNA from 1 species